ensembl:lncRNA
AACCCUGCGUUCGCUCGGCGGGAUGAACGCCGCCCCGGCUCUCCUCACCUGGAACGUGGCAGGAUGUCUUUCCCACGGUUGCUUUAUAUUCGGCGAGCGCGCGGCCCCUAAGCAGGGGAUAUCGAUCCGCAGAUGCGAUGCGUUCUCUGCCUUGCCGAGGAGCCGCGAUGCCGCCAUUAGCACCUCGGGGCGCCGGAUAAAACGGCGAGAAAAGGGAGGGCGGUUUCCAUCGGCCUCCCCUUGUACUUCCUCUCAGGCAGCGAAGGGAAUCAUUUUGUCAUCGAUCACCGCGUGCUGCUGUUCAACAGCGAUCGGAUGGAUCUUCAAAAAGUGCAGAGAAAACCUGGACUAAUAUUUCGGUCUCCAAAGAGAACUUUCCGCUGACUUUCACGUCCACCGGCAGCGAAUUAUCCACACGUGGGAACGCCGAAGUGAUGCAACUUCUUUGGGGUCGUUAAACUCGCCAGCAUAGCAAGAAAAAAGUCAAACCUGCCCCAGCAUGCAAUGUUUUAUGAGACGUCCACACGCUACAAGACUCUCUGAGCGGCUGGACAGCAGCCAGAUUGUUGCUCGCACACACACACACGCACACACACACACAUAUGCAAUGGCGUAUCCACACUGACAGCAAGCUGUGAGCAGAAAGCAGAUAGCGGAUCUUUCACUGUCAGCACGGACAAUCUGCCGCCUCCCCCCUCCCCCCGUAACCGAGACCGCUGUUUACAUUUGCCAAAUUCGCAGAGAAACAAAAAGCUCAGAGAAAACAAAUCUGCAGCAGAGUUGAGAUGAAGCUUCUCCGCGUGGCGGCAUUACCCGUCUGAGAUGUCAAAGGCUUUUAUGGGGAAAGAAAACUCCCGAGCACAUUCGAAUAGAUCCGUUUGGGCAGCCGGGAUCCCAAAUAGCUGCUUUGAGACGAGACCUCUUGAGCGUUUGGCUGCUUCGCCGCGUCUCUCCGCACAGUUCCGCCCCGGUGAAAUGGCAAUCUACUCUUUUUCUGCCAAAGACAAUCGGGAACACAGAUAUUCCUUCUGUAACAAAUUGGCUAUCAAAGCGUUUGCCGCGGGCCGCCUGUGCCGCCACGUCAGGCCCCUGCAGUCCGGACCAGAUGCCACGAGCCAGUGGCACGCUCCGGGUCCAGCGAGCCGCUCCUCGGGCUCCGACCCGUUCGCUUCGUUCGCGCUGGAGGUUACAGAAGCGACAGGAAUGCAUUCUCGAGCCAAACCGAGGAGUGGAGGGUGGCGUCGUGGGUCGAGGGGGGCAAUCAAAUUGCGAGCUAAAAUUAGUUUGCGAGGCGGUGCGAUGGAUUCAUCAAUGGCCGCCACAAGUCUUGGAGGCGAGAGGCUGGAGCUCCAAAGCCUCGUGCCGUUAAUGACAGAAUGUGCUCCGGAGAUUGAUUUGAAAAAAGAAAGAAACGCUCGGCGUCACGGUCCGGGCGGAGAGAGAGCAUAUGGCCGAAGGGCUUCAGCACUGAGAGAAGAACAUUUGCAAUUCCAGCUCAGUGACAGCGACUGAAGCGCAGGUAUUAAAGGGAAUCCUCCACAUUCCUCUUGCAGAGAAAUGCCUCAUUUGCGAAAGCCACCUGUUGGAGUUUUUCCAUUUCAACACAGUUAUUAAAAUGCCCCCCAAUCCAUUUUAUUGUCGAGCUCAGACUACCUCGUAGCAGCCUCUUCAUUUUAUAACAGUGAGAAUAAUUUUAUUAAAACACUCUGAGUCGAUAUCACAGUUGUAAAUAUGCCAACAUCUUCUCCAACAAACCAGUAAUUUACAGCCGGGGUUUGAUCUCGUCAACAUGGGAAGAACAUGUAAGAAGUGUGGACCAUUUCUAAUCAAGCUUUAAUUGUUAUGGAGCACGUUUGACGUAUGGAAAACCUUGUGUGUUUCACACAUUUCCAGCUAUCUGUCCUGGUGCCGUGUGUGGUGUGACGAACACGAGGGUUCGGGGAGCUCGAUAUCACUCGCGUCUCUUAAAAUCAGCGGCCGUGCAUAAAUAGACGGACGUUCACGAGAAGAGAGAUGACGGAGUGAACUGGCAAAGUUGGCCGAGGGAAACGCGGCUGUAACUAUGUUGGGUUUUCUUUCUUUUUUCGAGUUGCCUGGGAAAAAGAAUUUAUGAAUAAUUCCUAAUUCCAAUAACUGAUAUAUUUAACUUCAAGGCAACUCUGAAUAUGCUGAAAAAACUAUUUUACUGUAUCAAUUUAGGGAUUUUCUAAUGUCCCUAGAAGUGUAUAAUUCAACAUUCUGUGUGUUAAAUAAGUCAACUAAUCUUAAUCGUUUAGCAAUACUUAAUCUCAAUCCUAAAUACUUAUUGAAUUUCCCAUCAUUACUCAGGGGGGCGAGUGCAGCUCCACAUACGCAUUGGUUUAACUCUAAAAGCAUCAUGGGCAGCAUGUAAAAUCUGCCUUAGAUGAAUAAGUCAAACAGAAAAAAUAAUGUAGUCAUCAAGCCAAGCUAUAAAAUCCUGUGUAAAUAUGUACUUGUGAGACCUAAAGCUUGUCUAAUAAUGCAAAUUUAUUCCUUUGGUGUAACCUUCAAACCCGAUCAUUGUCCCUCCGGAUAAACUACAGAUUUCCUAUUUUUCUGCUUAAAUUAGCAUGUGCAGAUUUCUCAGAAACAGUUGUAAGAGUCUAAAAUACACCCGAGACGUCCCCCCUAGAACUUCAAAAGAUCCAUCCGAGUACCUGUCUCGCUGUUUUUCCCCCCCAACUUAUUAUUCUGCCUCUUCGAUCCGCGUCGACUCGCCUGAAAUCGCUUCUCCAGUGUUGUUCGCACUGCUGUACUUUCCUGAAGGCCAGCGAGGAUGUAAAUUAUUAAAAUGGAGAAUGUAUAUUUUCUCCCAGCUGUCGUACAGACCCACCCCGCCCAACCCUCCUGCACAGAACCUUGCACGUCACGAAAAAUACGCAGCGAUUGAGCGUCACGGCGGAGCGGUUUCCUCUCCGGAGGCCCCGCACGGCACACAAGGCCGGGGCGGCGGAUAGUUUGACAAAUGAAAGUGCCGGCGACAAGCGGCCCGCGGCAGCACGCGGCUGUCUGCGGGCGGCGAGGUCAUCGAUCGUGCCUCGGGCCCGGCGGCGGCGGAAGGAAGGAAGGAAGGAAGAGGACCCGCUCAUCGGGUGACAUCGGACGGAGGAAACGUGCGUCGCCCCCCCGCCGGCCCCGGGGCUUUAAAGAUGGCGCUCCUUGCACACCGGCCCUCACGCGGCGCUCGUGUCGCUUUGUGUCCUUUGUGUUUUCUUCCCCCGUGGCGGCUUCGUGCCGCUGACCUCCUGGCAGCCGCGGUUCGGCGGAGAGCUGUGCAAUAAAAAUAAAUAAAAAAACAAGCACAAAACAACAACGUCUGACGGCCCAAGGACUUGGCAGAGCGCAUUGUUGCGGUGUGGGUGUUCGCUCGCUGGAGUAAGAUUUAUGAUUACUGUCACAGAGAGGCUUUGUUGUUGUCUCAACAACACGCAGCUUGAUGAGUCCCGUAACUGAAUAGAGGAACUCACUUAAAGAGCUGAAAUCCGUUGUCCCGUCUGGAGAGGAAGAGAAACCCGACUGGAGCGAUUUUAGGUUUUCAGGGUGUUAUGAUGCCACUGGUUUCAUGUGCGUUAAUACAUAAAAAUAAAAAAAAAACAGUGACUCCGUUGGUGCCAUUCUGUCUGCACGCCAUCUGCCUACACCCGCGUGCAUACAUAUGUUUACUGUGUACACUGCUCAUGUACAAUGCACAUGUAUUCUUCUCCAUAUCUCCGUGCACCAUAAAGUGAGAUAAAUGAGAACUUGAGUCAAUAUGCAAAAGAAUAACGAUCAAUUCCUUUUGAAUCUUUCAGAAAAACGUAUGAUACCAAGACGGCAGAGGCACAUUCUGAUGUAUCAGCAGUAGUGAAUUGACCUCAGAGACAAUGCAUGAACAUGGUUGCAUUGGAUUAGUAGCUGGCUACAUGUAGUGUUGGCGCACAGCCGCCUUCCUCGCGUGCUUGUUUCAGUGGUUUGGUAUCUGAGGAUGACAGACAGGCUCCUUGAUGUACCAAAUAGGGUCCGUGUAAGAAGCCCUGUUCAUGAAUCAUAACGAGAAGAUGCUGUUCAGACCCUCUCUCUCUCCCCCCCUCUCUCUCGACCCAUUCAGCCUCUUGUCCAGGCAAACUACAAGAGUAAUGGCCCCCGGUCUCCUCCUGAACACGGACUAAUGAGAAUCUCAAAUGCGACAAGCAGGGUGCAUUUAUCACGUACUCGCCGCUUAAUGACACGGCCACCCGGGCUCAGCAGCGCGCUCGCGCCGCUACCUGGCGGCGUAACGGAUGGACCCGUUUGUCCCCUCUGCUGGCCCCUUAGUUUUGUUGGGACGAGCAGAAUCGGAGUCUGUGGUUCGUCUUCUGUCAAAAGACGGCUUUUGUUCCUCUCCGUCGCUCCCAGUGGGAAUUGGUCCGUUCUCGACUUCUUUUUUUUUUCUUUGUGUCAGUUUCGCUUGUGUCUCUAUAAAGAAGGAAAACCUCAAUAUGCAGAUGAGUGGAACUCUCUGGACCAGGAAUGGCGGAUGGAGGCGACAGAUGAAAACCACAUGCGCCACUUUCAUCUUCCACGACACAAAGUGGUGUUUUUCUUUAUUGAAGGGGCGACUGCGCUCGCGGGCCCAGAGAGCUGGCUGCAGAUAUUGAGCAGUUCAUUGCUCUCAUUCAAUGAUUCAGAGUAGAACUGUGACCAUUGCAGUCUGGCCUGAGCAUUGACAAGCACGUUGUGAUACAAUACAUAUCACAAUACGUAUCGCGAUACAAUACAUAUCACAAUACGUAUCGCGAUACAAUACAUAUCACGAUACGUAUCGCGAUACGUAUCGCGAUACGUAUCGCGAUGCAAUGCAAUACGACCCAUCUAUUUUCAGCAAUUUCCGAUGUGCUACAGUCUCGUCCUUUUGUACACCCUGGAUGAACAGAAUGGGGGGGGGGGGGCACCGUGUCAGCAGAGUUGUCCAAAAAGUGCUUAAUUAUACCAGAAGGAAAAUUGCACGUUGUCAUGAGGUUGGCGGCUUUUAGCGAAUCCUAAUUCCGCCUUUUGUCUUCCUCACAUUUGUUUCGUUUUUCCGACAGCUGCGACUGAUCGUUGAAGGAAUUCACCCCCGCUGAUAAUUAGGCGCACCGUGUGCCGCUCUGUGCCGGUGAAGCAGUCCCUGCCAGCCGGAAUCUCGGUGCUGCAAUUGAUUUGCUGGCUGAUUCCAGACCAGUGAGCUGUGAGACCAUGUCACCCCCCCCCCCCCUCCCCACCACCAUGCCCUCCUUUCCUUCCCCUCAUUCAGGCUCGCUGCUACGUUCCUCCCGUUUUCCAUGACACGGUGA